rnacentral:lncRNA from 1 species
UAAAGCAACAAAAAUAUACUGACUGGAAAAAAAAAAAAAACAACAGCAGAAUUUAAGAGGUGCAUCUCACUAUUGUAUCUCUACAUAAUUACCUGGCUUAAGUUACGGAGUAUAAACUAGUAGGCAUGUUAUUGAUCUACUGAAGUGAACUUUUUUCCUUUAGAGAAAAUUUAAAGAAAACAUCGAUCUAAAUGUCAAAUAUAUACAACAGAAUAUAAAUCAUUUUUCCAUUCUCUUGUUAUAUAAGUAAACUAUGAGAAUAGAAUUGGCUGGGUUUCUGAGGUGAAAUCCACAAUAAGAUUACUAGGUAGUUCAGUAAGUUAUACCUAACAGUAUGAAAAGAGGGUAUAGCUAUUUUAUACUUUUCAUAACAUUUGAGAGUAAGACAUUCUUUUAGGAUGGAAAAUGAUCAGUAAGUAUUUAGAUCUGAAGUCUGUUGUCAAGAUAAGGACUGGGGCUCACAUUAUGUAACCUUCAGUAUUAUCUUAGAGUACCCGGAAGAAACAGUUCCCCUGUCAUAGUGUUCUUUUAAAGGAGAAAGUUUAUGCAAAAAUGAAAUCAUGCCAGUAACAGAGAAACUGUAAAUUCAAGUUUGAUAGUACCUGUUUAAGUGUUGUACUUCCAUUGCAGAGAGCAUCUAAUAUCCCAGUUUAGAUCUGUUUCUUUAUACUUUUUCUAGUUGCUUGCUUAACGUUACGUUAGGUCAUUAUAACUCUCCCACCCCAUCAACUAGAUAAGCAAGAAUCUUUUAACAUAGUAGAUAGCCUGGUGGUUUUAGAAGUCUUUGGUGAUUUUUAUUGGCGGGAGUUUUCCUAAGUAUUGGUUUAGGGACAUCUCCUCAGAUACUAGCACAGCAUUUCUUGGGUGGUAAUCACGGGUUUGAUGCCUAUCUCCCUCAGAGAAUAGCGUUUUCCUCACUAACAC